rnacentral:rRNA from 1 species
UACGGAGGAUGCAAGCGUUAUCCGGAAUGAUUGGGCGUAGAGCGUCCGCAGGUGGCUGUGUAAGUCUGCUGUCAAAGAGCAAAGCUCAACUUUGUAAAGGCAGUGGAAACUACACGGCUAGAGUGCGUUCGGGGCAGAGGGAAUUCCUGGUGUAGCGGUGAAAUGCGUAGAGAUCAGGAAGAACACCGGUGGCGAAGGCGCUCUGCUAGGCCGCAACUGACACUGAGGGACGAAAGCUAGGGGAGCGAAUGGG